GUGCAGCAGUCGCGAAAACUUCACAAUGUGCGAAAGCACGAUGAGGGAAUCCCAAGUGCUUGCACGUAAGUGUAAGCUGUUUCUCUGUCUAAAACGCAGAGAGAGUAAGGGCUGGGUAAGACGGGUGCCAGCCGCCGCGGUAAUACCUGCAGCUCGAGUGGUGACCGUUAUUAUUGGGCCUAAAACGUCCGUAGCCGGUUUAAUAAAUGCCUGGGUAAAUCGGACCGCUUAACGGUUCAAGUUCCGGGUAGACUGUUAAACUUGAGACCGGGAGAAGUUAGAGGUACUCCUGGGGUAGAGGUGAAAUUCUGUAAUCCUAGGGGACCACCAGUGGCGAAGGCGUCUAACUAGAACGGGUCUGACGGUGAGGGACGAAGCCCUGGGGCGCAAACGGGAUUAGAUACCCCUGUAGU
rnacentral:rRNA from 1 species